rnacentral:rRNA from 1 species
UACGGAGGGUGCGAGCGUUGUCCGGAAUCACUGGGCGUAAAGGGCGCGUAGGCGGCCUGGUAAGUAGGGGGUGAAAUCCCUGGGCUCAACCCAGGAAGUGCACUCGAAACUGCGGGGCUAGAGUACUGGAGAGGUUGGUGGAAUUCCUGGUGUAGCGGUGAAAUGCGCAGAUAUCAGGAGGAACACCGAUGGCGAAGGCAGGUCUCUGGGCCACUACUGACGCUGAGAAGCGAAAGCAUGGGGAGCGAACAGG